GACGGAGGAUGCAAGCGUUAUCCGGAAUUAUUGGGCGUAAAGCGUCCGCAGGUGGAUAUACAAGUCUGCUGUCAAAGUGCAGAGCUUAACUCUGUAAAGGCGGUGGAAACUGUAGGUCUUGAGUAUGGUAGGGGUAGAGGGAAUUCCCGGUGUAGCGGUGAAAUGCGUAGAUAUCGGGAAGAACACCAGUGGCGAAAGCGCUCUACUGGGCCAUAACUGACACUGAGGGACGAAAGCUAGGGGAGCGAAAGGG
rnacentral:rRNA from 1 species